AAUAAAUGAAAACCAUAAAAGGGCGGGCAGGAGAAACCCAGGGCGGGCAAUACUCGCCUCCGUGUCUUUAAUAAAACUAUGACUUUACGUCAUGAAAUAGGAAAAUCAUUAAGUUUUACAGCAAGACACGGAGGCUUCGUAUUGCAAGUU